CGUGAGCCAGGUCGGUUCUUAUCUAUUGUAGAAGUUUAUCAGUACGAAAGGAUAGUAAGCUUUUUUAUUAAACAUGAAUUGUGUUAGCUUUGCAAAAGCUAAAGAGAAUUGUUUUAAUAAUUCCAUGUUUUAUAUUAGUUGUUUAACUGUGGCAAAAGAAAGUUUGUGUUUCAUUAACUGCAUAAAAUUAGUUUAUUUUUAAGUAUGAUUUAGUGUUAUUUAUUUUAUUUAGCAGUUAGUUUUUUGUUAAAACUAGAGUUUUAAAAGGGUGAAACAUUAGAAGGGGAUAGGACACAGUGCCAGCAUCUGCGGUUAAUCUGUUUUCUUUGUUUUUGUGUAGAUUGUGUGUGUUUAUUUAUCUUUAAAAAUAGGUUAAAUUUUUUUAUUUAAGUUUUAAGUAUUCAUUUUUGUAUAAAAUUUAUAUUUGUGACAGGGAUUAGAUACCCCAUUAACGUAUUUUGUAAUAUUAUCUUAGUUUAGUAACUAAAAUGGUUUGGCAGUGAGUGAUUCUUUUUAGGGGAAGGUGUGGUGUAAAGGAUGUUCCGCCUAUUAAUUUACUUUUAUUAUGUUGGUGUAUAUCUGGUUUAAUAUUAUCGUUGAGUGAUGUAUAAGUUUGUGUAGGUUUUAGUUAAGCUAAGUCUAUGUGCUGCUUAUAAAAGUAUACAUGCGUUACAUUGAUAAAGUUUUAGUUGUAAGUGCUAUUAUAUUCAGGACUUAAAAGUAAUGUUAAAUUAGUUUGUUAAUGUGAAGUAAGUUUAGCUCAUGUACACACCGCCCGUCACCCUCGAUU
rnacentral:rRNA from 1 species